rnacentral:misc_RNA from 1 species
CUGUAGGAUCUGGAGCGUCCGCCUGCCGCAAGGUAGCGCGGGCUGCUGCAGAGCCAAACCUUCUACCCUUGUCUAUGAGCACCUCUCGUUUCCUCGGCGGGUUCGCCCGCCAGAGGACCCCCCUUCAAACCCUUUUGCCAUCCUUGCAGUACUGUCUGAUAGCGAAAGCAAUAUAUAAAUCA